GUAGUCGGAUUCGUGUUUCGUGUUUCGCGUUAUCAUCUUCUCAGAGACCGUCUCUCGACAUCAAAGGUCUGGAAAAACUACAAAUGGAAGAUAAACUAAUUGAUUCACCCGAGAGGAGGUGGUGGUGGUGGAUGCCGUUGUGGUGGAUGUGGAUACAGAGGUGGAAGACGUGAGGAUGAAGAGCUGGUGGUGAUUAUGGAUGCCGUGAUGGUGGAUGCUAUGGUGGUGGAUGUUGAUACGGAGGUGGAAGACGUGAGGAGGAGGAUGUGGUGGUGGAUGCCGUGGUUGUGGAUGCUGUUGUGGUGGAUGUGGAUACGGAGGUGGAAGAUGUGUGGAGGAGGAAGUUGUGGUGGAUGCCGUGUUGGUGGAUGUUGUGGUGGUUGAUGUGAAUAUGAGGUGGAAGACAUGAGGAGGAGAAGGUGGUGGUAGAUACGGUGUCUACAUAAAAUUUUGUAAUAUUUUCAUGUCCACAUAAAUUGUGUCCACAGAAGUGUGUUCGACCACUGAAUUGUGUCCACAGAAAAGCUUAAUCGUUGUUUCAUGAUAAUGAUGAAUGAUGAAUGAUUUUAUAGAGCAAUUUUACUAAAUGACGAAUCAGAUCCAUAAUUCAUCAAUUCACAAAUUUUUUUCUUCUUUAUUCAAUUUAUAAAUAUCUAUUAUGAGCCAAACCAAUAUGCCUCUUCUGACCACAACCUCUCUAACCACAACCCAACUUCAUGGUUUCAACCAUAACACUCAUGUAGCCACAACCUCUCUAACCACAACCCACCUUCAUGGUUUCAACCACAACACCCAUGUAGUCACACCUUCUCUAGCCACAAGCCAAUCUACAUGUGGAUGCUAUUUUGAAUACACCACCACAACCACAAAUAAGACAUCCAUAACCAAACUAACCAUGACUUUUGAAACAAUCAGUCCUAUCUCUUAUAUCUCUUCUUGCCUUAUUUCUCACCUUCGUUGAAAAACGAAACCCACGACAAGUUACGUUUAAAGAACAACAUUUAUUACGAGCCAAACCAAUACGCCUCUUCUGAGCCAUUAGAUUUUCUUUUAAAAAAUGAUCCGACGGUCAGGAAAGAGACUCUAAAACCCAUACAACUACUUUUACUUUUGUACAUUUUUCAUUUAUUCCAAUUGAGGAGCUAUCUGGUUUAGUUCCUUAAAGGGCUUUUGUGUCCACCAAAAAGACAGCUGUCCAACAAUGUGUUUUAUAUCCAUAAAGUGUCUUUCCGCGUUAAUAAAAGACACAAAGUGUCUCUCAGUGUAAACGUUUUUUUUUUUUAAGUUCCUCGAGAUGAAUUAUUUUCUUAUGAUUACUAUUCUAAAUUAAAAUUAAUCCCACAAAUAUACACGUGCGUUCCCACGUAGAUACAAUCUUCGAUUUUACUAAUAUUAAUUGGUGUCGGUGUGUGCCUUGUGGGAUGAUAUGUUUUGACCUUUUGUCUCGUAAAAGUUGGAUAAUCGUCUUAUUUUUGGCUAAGAAUUGGAUAAUUGCUAUCCAAAACAAUUUGAUAAGCGGAUAAAGUGGACUUACCACGUAAUAAUUGCAAUCUACAUUCAAAACAAAUUUAUAAUUUAUGGUUUAACCUUUUUUUUUUAAUCUCUAGGAAGAUAUGUUGAUUAAAGUUACAUUUCCUUUAAUGGCAAUGAAAAUUAACACUCUUCGAAACCAUUUAUAAAAGGAAACUGGAAAAUGUGAUUUGAAAAAGACGAGAUUCUUAUUGGCUGUGAUGAGUGUACCUGUGGUGGACCUGUCCGUAGGGGAAUGAUCCGUGGAUGGGGUUGAGUAACGAAUGCGCCACCCAUGCUGUAGAUAUAGAUGCUACGUAGGAUCAUUGUAAGAAUAUUCCUAUCUA